rnacentral:rRNA from 1 species
ACGGGAGGCAGCAGUGAGGAAUAUUGGUCAAUGGACGCAAGUCUGAACCAGCCAUGCCGCGUGCAGGAAUAAGGCCCUAUGGGUCGUAAACUGCUUUUGUGGUGGAGCAAUAAGUCGUACGUGUACGGCGAUGAGAGUACAUCACGAAUAAGCAUCGGCUAACUCCGUGCCAGCAGCCGCGGUAAUACGGAGGGUGCAGGCGUUAUCCGGAUUUAUUAGGUUUAAAGGGUGCGCAGGCGGGACAUUAAGUCGGUGGUGAAAUACCGUAGCUCAACUACGGGGCUGCCAUCGAUACUGAUGACCUUGAGUGCGGAUGAGGAAGGCGGAAUGUGGCGUGUAGCGGUGAAAUGCUUAGAUAUGCCACAGAACACCGAUUGCGAAGGCAGCUUUCCAAUGCGUAACUGACGCUCAUGCACGAAAGCGCGGGUAGCGAACAGGAUUAGAUACCCUGGUA